AGCGAACGCUGGCGGCAGGCUUAACACAUGCAAGUCGAGCGGGCACUUUCGGGUGUCAGCGGCGGACGGGUGAGUAACGCGUGGGAACGUGCCCUCUGGUUCGGAAUAACUCAGGGAAACUUGAGCUAAUACCGGAUACGCCCUUUUGGGGAAAGGCUUGCUGCCGGAGGAUCGGCCCGCGUCUGAUUAGCUAGUUGGUGAGGUAACGGCUCACCAAGGCGACGAUCAGUAGCUGGUCUGAGAGGAUGAUCAGCCACACUGGGACUGAGACACGGCCCAGACUCCUACGGGAGGCAGCAGUGGGGAAUAUUGGACAAUGGGCGCAAGCCUGAUCCAGCCAUGCCGCGUGAGUGAUGAAGGCCUUAGGGUUGUAAAGCUCUUUUAUCCGGGACGAUAAUGACGGUACCGGAGGAAUAGGCCCCGGCUAACUUCGUG
rnacentral:rRNA from 1 species